AGAUGUGUAUAAGAGACAGUGCUAAUACCGCAUAACAACUUGGACCGCAUGGUCCGAGCUUGAAAGAUGGCUUCGGCUAUCACUUUUGGAUGGUCCCGCGGCGUAUUAGCUAGAUGGUGGGGUAACGGCUCACCAUGGCAAUGAUACGUAGCCGACCUGAGAGGGUAAUCGGCCACAUUGGGACUGAGACACGGCCCAAACUCCUACGGGAGGCAGCAGUAGGGAAUCUUCCACAAUGGACGAAAGUCUGAUGGAGCAACGCCGCGUGAGUGAAGAAGGGUUUCGGCUCGUAAAACUCUGUUGUUAAAGAAGAACAUAUCUGAGAGUAACUGUUCAGGUAUUGACGGUAUUUAACCAGAAAGCCACGGCUAACUACGUGCCAGCAGCCGCGGUAAUACGUAGGUGGCAAGCGUUGUCCGGAUUUAUUGGGCGUAAAGCGAGCGCAGGCGGUUUUUUAAGUCUGAUGUGAAAGCCUUCGGCUCAACCGAAGAAGUGCAUCGGAAACUGGGAAACUUGAGUGCAGAAGAGGACAGUGGAACUCCAUGUGUAGCGGUGAAAUGCGUAGAUAUAUGGAAGAACACCAGUGGCGAAGGCGGCUGUCUGGUCUGUAACUGACGCUGAGGCUCGAAAGUAUGGGUAGCAAACAGGAUUAGAUACCCUGGUAGUCCAUACCGUAAACGAUGAAUGCUAAGUGUUGGAGGGUUUCCGCCCUUCAGUGCUGCAGCUAACGCAUUAAGCAUUCCGCCUGGGGAGUACGGCCGCAAGGCUGAAACUCAAAGGAAUUGACGGGGGCCCGCACAAGCGGUGGAGCAUGUGGUUUAAUUCGAAGCUACGCGAAGAACCUUACCAGGUCUUGACAUACUAUGCAAAUCUAAGAGAUUAGACGUUCCCUUCGGGGACAUGGAUACAGGUGGUGCAUGGUUGUCGUCAGCUCGUGUCGUGAGAUGUUGGGUUAAGUCCCGCAACGAGCGCAACCCUUAUUAUCAGUUGCCAGCAUUAAGUUGGGCACUCUGGUGAGACUGCCGGUGACAAACCGGAGGAAGGUGGGGAUGACGUCAAAUCAUCAUGCCCCUUAUGACCUGGGCUACACACGUGCUACAAUGGAUGGUACAACGAGUUGCGAACUCGCGAGAGUAAGCUAAUCUCUUAAAGCCAUUCUCAGUUCGGAUUGUAGGCUGCAACUCGCCUACAUGAAGUCGGAAUCGCUAGUAAUCGCGGAUCAGCAUGCCGCGGUGAAUACGUUCCCGGGCCUUGUACACACCGCCCGUCACACCAUGAGAGUUUGUAACACCCAAAGUCGGUGGGGUAACCUUUUAGGAACCAGCCGCCUAAGGUGGGACAGAUGAUUAGGGUGAAGUCGUAACAAGGUAGCCGUAGGAGAACCUGCGGCUG
rnacentral:rRNA from 1 species